rnacentral:rRNA from 1 species
GACGAACGCUGGCGGCGUGCUUAACACAUGCAAGUCGAACGAUGAAACCUAGCUUGCUAGGUCGAUUAGUGGCGAACGGGUGAGUAACACGUGACUAACCUGCCCCUUUCUCUGGGAUAACGCUCCGAAAGGAGUGUUAAUACCGGAUACUCACACCGAGGCACAUGCCUUGGUGUGGAAAGUUUUUCGGAAAGGGAUGGAGUCGCGGCCUAUCAGCUUGUUGGUGAGGUAACGGCUCACCAAGGCGACGACGGGUAGCCGGCCUGAGAGGGCGACCGGCCACACUGGAACUGAGACACGGCCCAGACUCCUACGGGAGGCAGCAGUGGGGAAUAUUGCACAAUGGGCGCAAGCCUGAUGCAGCGACGCCGCGUGAGGGAUGAAGGUCUUCGGAUUGUAAACCUCUUUCAGUAGGGACGAAGCGAAAGUGACGGUACCUAAAGAAGAAGCACCGGCUAACUACGUGCCAGCAGCCGCCGUAA